GAUGAACGCUGGCGGCGUGCCUAAUACAUGCAAGUCGAGCGAAAAGACGAGGAGCUUGCUCCUCUGACGUUAGCGGCGGACGGGUGAGUCACACGUGUAUAACCUACCUAUCAGACUGGGAUCACUUCGAGAAACCGGAGAUAAUACCGGAUAAUCUAUUGAAGCGCAUGGGGCAAUAGUGAAAGACGGUUUUGCUGUCACUUAUAGAUGCAUCCCGGCCGUAUUAGCUAGUUGGUAAGGUAACGGCUUACCAAGGCAAGGAUGCGUGGCCGAGCGACUUGGGGGGUCGGCGACCUGGGAGCUUGACCACGCUCCAGACGCCUACGGGAGGGAGCAGUCUGGAAUCUUCCGCAAUGGGGGGAAGCCUUACGGAGUAACGCCGCGUGAGUGAUGAAGAUCCUCCGUUCGUAAAACCGUGUUACUAGUUAAAAACAAAUGUGUAAUGAACCAUGCACUGCGUGACGGUACCGAAUCAGAAAGCCCCGGCUAACUACGUG
rnacentral:rRNA from 1 species